rfam:Aedes albopictus isolate Foshan contig115794, whole genome shotgun sequence.
GGCUCGCUAGCGUAGUUGGUAAAGCACUUGUCUAGCGAAUAAGGGUCGUGAGUUCAAAUCUCAUCUGAGCUG